GAUGAACGCUGGCGGCGUGCCUAAUACAUGCAAGUCGAGCGAACAGACGAGGAGCUUGCUCCUCUGACGUUAGCGGCGGACGGGUGGGUAACACGUGGAUAACCUACCUAUAAGACUGGGAUAACUUCGGGAAACCGGAGCUAUUACCGGAUAAUAUAUUGAACCGCAUGGUUCAAUAGUGAAAGACGGUUUUGCUGUCACUUAUAGAUGGAUCCGCGCCGCAUUAGCUAGUUGGUAAGGUAACGGCUUACCAAGGCAACGAUGCGUAGCCGACCUGAGAGGGUGAUCGGCCACACUGGAACUGAGACACGGUCCAGACUCCUACGGGAGGCAGCAGUAGGGAAUCUUCCGCAAUGGGCGAAAGCCUGACGGAGCAACGCCGCGUGAGUGAUGAAGGUCUUCGGAUCGUAAAACUCUGUUAUUAGGGAAGAACAAAUGUGUAAGUAACUAUGCACGUCUUGACGGUACCUAAUCAGAAAGCCACGGCUAACUACGUG
rnacentral:rRNA from 1 species